rnacentral:rRNA from 1 species
GUGCCAGCCGCCACGGUAAUACCGGCAGCACAAGUGAUGGCCGAUUUUAUUGGGCCUAAAGCGUCCGUAGCCGGCCGGACAAGUCCGUUGGGAAAUCCACGCGCUCAACGCGUGGGCGUCCAGCGGAAACUGUCCGGCUUGGGGCCGGAAGACUUGAGGGGUACGUCCGGGGUAGGAGUGAAAUCCUGUAAUCCUGGACGGACCACCGAUGGCGAAAGCACCUCAAGAAGACGGACCCGACGGUGAGGGACGAAAGCUAGGGUCUCGAACCGGAUUAGAUACCCCAGUAGUCC